CCGUAUCUAUGUUAUGUCAUCUACUUCUGUGCUGUACUAUGUGUUUGUGUGAUAUCUCGUGACUUGAGCCGGGGGUCUUUCGGAAACAACCUUUCUACUUCAUCAGAGGUAGAGGUAUGGACUGCGUACAUCUUACCCCCCCCAGACCCCACUAAGUGGGAAUACACUGGGUUUGUUGUUGUUGUUGUUGUUGUAUUGAUAUAUGAUUAACUAGUAUACUUCUAAUUGCUUCUUCUCUUUGAUUGCACUCUCCUAGCUCAUGGAGGCCUGCGUUGGGUUAUUUACUUUUCUGUACUUACUGGCUUAU
rnacentral:lncRNA from 1 species